rnacentral:rRNA from 1 species
UACGUAGGGUGCGAGCGUUAAUCGGAAUUACUGGGCGUAAAGCGUGCGCAGGCGGUUCGUUGUGUCGGUGGUGAAAUCCCCGGGCUUAACCUGGGAAUGGCCAUGGAAACUGGCGAGCUGGAGUGUGGCAGAGGGGGGUGGAAUUCCGCGUGUAGCAGUGAAAUGCGUAGAGAUGCGGAGGAACACCGAUGGCGAAGGCAGCCCCCUGGGCUAACACUGACGCUGAGGCACGAAAGCGUGGGGAGCAAACAGG